rnacentral:precursor_RNA from 10 species
AACCUGUUCACCCCGCAGAUGCAGUUCAUUUGAAACUUGCAGGAACGGGCCUUGUUCUAGCAAGUCCUUUCCAACAGGUUUCGCAUGAACUCCAUUAAAUACAUCGGUCGUACAG